GCAGAUGAGACGGUUCGUACAUAGCUUAUUCCGCUUGACCCACGUGAUAAAGAACACGGUCCUUCUUCAACUUCCCCAAAGGUCUGAUACUCGCGAAAGAGGGGCAAUGAAUUGUAACACCGCUCUGCGAAUGGACGUCCAUCAUCGACAAUGGGUUGUGAUUUUUCCAGAAAGUAGGAGGAAUCGACCAUGAUACUACCUCAUCCAACACGUUCUUCGUUCCGAUGGAGCUUUGAAUGGGGUUUUCGCUCCAAUUGAUUCUUCAGUCGAUCUUGGCUCGAAGUCUUUUAUCGCUUUUCGGAGCGAUUCUGCCGCCUGCUGACCGGUUUGACGAUGGAUAUUCUCGGCAACAUUGAGUUUGGAGAGGAUUCACUUCUCCAAUUCAGUGAGCACGGGGUUGAAAAACUGAUGUUUAAAGGACGACGCCGCUAUUGCGCUUCAAGAAAUCAACACAACUGUAUCACGUUAAUUUUCCCCAAUCAUGGAGUCUCGCUUGAACUUCUCAACAAUAUCUUAAGCAAUUCAGUUUGAACGGGCGUGAAUCGAAGCGAAUACGACGCUUUACCGCAACGAUAAGACAGUUCGGAUGAUUCAAACGCGAAUGGGUGUGAAUCGAAGCGAACACAUCGCUUUACAGGGUUCAACUGCAGCGACAGAAGCACGUAAAUCUCUUAUGCGAUUCCAAUCUUUCACCCCUUCAUAGCCAUCUUCUUUGUUGCGACUUCGCUCUUCUGACUUCUUUGGUUAUGCGAUGUGUGAGAUUGUUGAAUUAAUGAUUACAGGCUUUGUCUUAAAUUCCGUUCAUAGAAAGGGAUUUGAGAAGAAAACGAAAAUGUGAGGAAGGGAAUCGAAGGCGAAAGCGUAUUGUUGAUUGAAGAUGGAUUCUGCACGAGGAUAGUGAAAGAAUCCCGUUGAACUGAAGGUUGAGUUUUGAGGAUUCUGCAGGUAAGGGAUGAGCCGACCUAAUGUGACUCUGUUGCAGAAUUUGCAGAGUCGAAUUUGCAGGUUUGAAUUGAUUUGCGGCUACAGGUUGCAGAACUUUGAAAAAGGUGAAAGCAAUUGGGAGAGUGAGAAAUGAAGAAAUGAAGAAAUGAAGAGGAUGAAGAAAGGGUUGGAAGAACCCUGAAGAAUCACCAUGAGGUUAGCUUUUAUAGUGUGUGAAUGCCCCUGUUGGAUGCUACUUCUAUUGCCGACAUGAAACGAAAGAGUGCAGGAUGCACUGUGUCGGUAUGUUAUGGAAUACAUGUUUGGCUUUUAUCUCCACGAGUUCUUGGUAAUUUGGUCUUUCUCUCCAUGAAUUUGCCUAAGAAAGCUGAAAUGACAGGUCAUUUAAUGGGUUUCUUCCUAUUGCUAAAAACAAGCUGCCAGAUGCGAUUCAAAAUGCCUGUGUAAUGAAAUGUGAUUCUAAUGCAAUGUUCUGUUAAGAGAUUGGUGUUGAGUUAAUUUGGUGCAUGUCAGAACAAGGUAUGUUCCAAUAGAAUUGGCUUUAUAGAAGUUAUAUCUGACCCUGCUGUGACUGCCAUGUUGCAGGUACAAACGAACGAACCUGGUAGUAGCCUACAUCCAGAGAGAUGCCAUGAGUCCUGGUAGCAAAAGGAUUAAUUGAUCCUUGGCGCUUAGUGGUUGAAAUGGAACCGAAGUGAGCUUGGUAAUUGUUUUCCCGUUAUUACUUAAAGGCUUGAUUUGGGUGUGCACCAUUAGAUUUAUCAAGUGAAGGUUGUGAAUGGUACAGUAUCGACCUGGUUGAAUUGAAAUGUCAAAGCCAAAACUCAUUGGCGGUUGGAAGGCGGCUGGUCACACGGUUUCGUAGCAGUCACGGCAGGACAGGUUGCACCUUUUUCGGAGAUGUCUUGGAACUGGAGUUUGGAAUUGUACAUAUUUAAAGUACUUUGUGGUUCCUGAGCAUACAUGUUAACUCUAGAUUAUUUAGAGUUUGCACUUGAUUUGUUCAUAGGUAAAUUGGGUUGUAACCGAAUGAUAAAUCGAAAUUGUAACCGAGUUAAAAGGUAGUAAUCAGUACUUAAGAGGAAAGUUGAAUAA